rnacentral:rRNA from 1 species
AUUGAACGCUGGCGGCAGGCCUAACACAUGCAAGUCGAGCGGAUGAAGUGAGCUUGCUCCUGGAUUCAGCGGCGGACGGGUGAGUAAUGCCUAGGAAUCUGCCUGGUAGUGGGGGAUAACGUCCGGAAACGGGCGCUAAUACCGCAUACGUCCUGAGGGAGAAAGUGGGGGAUCUUCGGACCUCACGCUAUCAGAUGAGCCUAGGUCGGAUUAGCUAGUUGGUGGGGUAAAGGCCUACCAAGGCGACGAUCCGUAACUGGUCUGAGAGGAUGAUCAGGCACACUGGAACUGAGACACGGUCCAGACUCCUACGGGAGGCAGCAGUGGGGAAUAUUGGACAAUGGGCGAAAGCCUGAUCCAGCCAUGCCGCGUGUGUGAAGAAGGUCUUCGGAUUGUAAAGCACUUUAAGUUGGGAGGAAGGGCAGUAAGUUAAUACCUUGCUGUUUUGACGUUACCAACAGAAUAAGCACCGGCUAACUUCGUG